UAUAUAUUUUUGUAUUUGAAUAAGGAACUGGACUUAACUGACUUAAAUUUCAUUUCUGUGAUUCAAAUCAUCUUGAUUUCAGUAUUCAAUCUGGCUAGCUUCAAUUUAUCGGUGUUCACACAUUCAUGAAUUAUAAAUUGCUUGCUUGUAAUAUCUGGUUUCUUUAGUGUUUUUGGAAUAUCUGUUGUUGUUUUUUUUGUAUUAUUGGAAUAUCUGGUUUAUUUAGUGUUUUUGGAAUAUCUGUUGUUUUUUUUUUUGUAUUAUUGGAAUAUCUGGUUUAUUUAGUGUUUUUGGAAUAUCUGGUUUCUUUAGUGUUUUGGAAUAUCUGGUUUCUUUAGUGUUUUUGGAAUAUCUGGUUUCUCUAUUGCUUUUGGAAUAUCUGGUUUUUCUAUUGCUUUUGGAAUAUCAGGUUUCUUUAGUGAUUCUGGAAUAUCAGGUUUUUAAAGUAUUUUUUAAUUGUCUAGUUUCUUCUUUGUUUUUUUUUUGAAUAUCUGGUUUCCUGAGUGUUUUUGGCUUUUGGCAUAUCUGGUUUCUUGAGUUUUUUUGUUUGUUUGUUUGGAAUAUCUGUUUUCUUGGUUUUCUUUUCUUGAGUUGUUUUUUUCUUGAGUGGUAUUUAGUAUAUCUUAUUUCUUACGUGUUUAUUUUUUUUACCGGUAUCUGGUUUCUUUGUUGUAAAGUAAUCUACAGUAAAGAAAAAAAUUAUCCCUUUAUUAAUUAUUCUUAAAUAAUGUGUGUAUGCAACAAGAAUAUAGACUCUGCAUGUUUAGUUAUAAUGAUAAACAUGAAGACAAUUCAUCAUUCAUUGAACACUUUGAGUUAAACUUAAUGAAAAAACAGGUUACCUUCAAACUCAUCGGUGGACUUUCUAUUUAGUGCUUACACAUUGUGUUGUUUUGAAACUGUUUCUUUGUAUAUGUAUACAAUAUGCAUGCACAAUUUACACACACUGCACUACACACUUAUUUCUAAAAACUUAAGUGGUUAAGUAGUUGCACCUUAAGUAUUCAUUUAUUUAUUUUUUUAAAUUUUAAAUUACAUUUGUCCAAUAUGAAAGCUUUAUAUUUAUUAUUAUUAAGUAUAUAUUUGACAAAAGAUAAAACUUUUUUUUAUUAUGCCUUCUGGUACAGUAUUUUUUUAUAUUAUUAAAUAGUAAAGGUCAUCUGUUUCUGCUAAGGAAAGAAUCAUGUGGCCAGCACAACAACUAACCGCCUUUACUUUUCCCCAAAUAAUGUCAGGUACUCAUUAGAGCUUGGAGGACUCAUAGGCACCCCAAGAUCCAGAAAUUUAAAAUCCCAGUUUUCUUCAGAAUUCAAAUCUUGGAACCCCAGUAUGGAAGCAAAGUGCUUUACCGCUGAGCCACCUUGCCUUCCAUACUAUUUAAUACUGGUGCCUUAAAAUCUAGUUUUUAAAAUACUUUGUGCAUAAAAAAUAUUUUGAAUAUUUAUUUUAAAAAAAUAAUGCUAUGCUUUUUGGUCAAUGUUAAAAAUAGAUUUUUAAUAGCUUUUCCCUAAGGAUAUUUAGAUGUACCAGUAUUUGAUUUAAUUAAAAGAACUACUGGUACCCAAAGCAAUUUUUCUCCCUUGGACCACAGCAACCAAAAUUAUAGUUUUCAAUGCCUAUGCAGUGCAUUCAAUGCUUAAUGACAAUGUGAGUUGGUCAACAUACAUUAUCAUAAGCAUAGACUAGGUCAACUAGGAAGUUUAGGAAAUUGACUAUACACUACUGGCAUUAAGAACAUAAAGAAGACUAGACUGCCUCAGACAUUAGACAUUUCAGAUGCAUAAUAGGUGGAAGAAUUUCAAAGGAAAUCCUUUCUGCUGAACUUUCGGACAGAAACUUACGCAAGGCAUAUCCAACACUAUCUGUGGAACCUACACAUAUCAAAAUAUAUGUUAGAAAAUUUACUAUUAUCAGACUGCACAGAGACAGAUUCUUCAAGUGGGCAUGAUCUUUGCAGAAA